UUGGAGAGGACCUCUCGCUGCCGCGCGUAAAAA
rnacentral:sRNA from 1 species